GGCAGCACGGACUUCGGUCUGGUGGCGAGUGGCGAACGGGUGAGUAAUGUAUCGGAACGUGCCCAGUAGCGGGGGAUAACUACGCGAAAGCGUAGCUAAUACCGCAUACGCCCUACGGGGGAAAGCAGGGGAUCGCAAGACCUUGCACUAUUGGAGCGGCCGAUAUCGGAUUAGCUAGUUGGUGGGGUAACGGCUCACCAAGGCGACGAUCCGUAGCUGGUUUGAGAGGACGACCAGCCACACUGGGACUGAGACGCGGCCCAGACUCCUACGGGAGGCAGCAGUGGGGAAUUUUGGACAAUGGGGGAAACCCUGAUCCAGCCAUCCCGCGUGUGCGAUGAAGGCCUUCGGGUUGUAAAGCACCUUUGGCAGGAAAGAAACGUCAUGGGCUAAUACCCCGUGAAACUGACGGUACCUGCAGAAUAAGCACCGGCUAACUACGUGCCAGCAGCCGCGGUAAUACGUAGGGUGCGAGCGUUAGUCGGAAUUACUGGGCGUAAAGCGUGCGCAGGCGGUUCGGAAAGAAAGAUGUGAAAUCCCAGAGCUUAACUUUGGAGCUGCAUUUUUAACUACCGGGCUAGAGUGUGUCAGAGAGAGGUGGAAUUCCGCGUGUAGCAGUGAAAUGCGUAGAUAUGCGGAGGAACACCGAUGGCGAAGGCAGCCUCCUGGGAUAACACUGACGCUCAUGCACGAAAGCGUGGGGAGCAAACAGGAUUAGAUANCCUGGUAGUCCACGCCGUAAACGAUGAGUGCUAGGUGUUGGAUCCUUUCC
rnacentral:rRNA from 1 species